rnacentral:rRNA from 1 species
AAGCUGAGAACCCGAACGAUCGAAUGGGAAGAUUCAGCGUCAGCGGCGUUCGGCGUCGUCGUCGUGCACUUCUUCCCUAGUAGAACGUCGCGACCCGUUGGGUGCCGGUCACGCGGCAGACCCUCGUUAACCCGGCCGGCUGCCCGGCGGUCGAACAUAAGGUAUCUUGCCGCAAUUUAAAUGCGUCGGGCCCGUCGCAAGCGAGGUCAGGGACCCGGUGCCGUACCCGCGGCUGGCCGGCUGUUGGCAGACGGAGUCCUUCGACGGGCAAUACACACCGAUACCGGUCUGCGACGCUACUGCUUUGGGUACUCUCAGGACCCGUCUUGAAACACGGACCAAGGAGUCUAACAUGUGCGCGAGUCAUUGGGACUGCAAGCCUAAAGGCGAAAUGAAAGUGAAGGUCGUCGACCGAGGGAGGAUGGGCCGCGUUUGCGCGCGGCUCCGCACUCCCGGGGCGUCUCGUUCUCAUUGCGAGAAGAGGCGCACCCAGAGCGUACACGUUGGGACCCGAAAGAUGGUGAACUAUGCCUGGUCAGGACGAAGUCAGGGGAAACCCUGAUGGAGGUCCGUAGCGAUUCUGACGUGCAAAUCGAUCGUCGGAACUGGGUAUAGGGGCGAAAGACUAAUCGAACCAUCUAGUAGCUGGUUCCCUCCGAAGUUUCCCUCAGGAUAGCUGGCACUCGUUCGUUUAUAAUAAAGGAGUCUCAUCUGGUAAAGCGAAUGAUUAGAGGCCUUGGGGCCGAAACGACCUCAACCUAUUCUCAAACUUUAAAUGGGUGAGAUCUCUGGCUUGCUUGAAAUAUGAAGCCACGAGAUCGGAUCAGAGUGCCAAGUGGGCCAAUUUUGGUAAGCAGAACUGGCGCUGUGGGAUGAACCAAACGCAAAGUUAAGGCGCCUAAGUCGACGCUUAUGGGAUACCAUGAAAGGCGUUGGUUGCUUAAGACAGCAGGACGGUGGCCAUGGAAGUUGGAAUCCGCUAAGGAGUGUGUAACAACUCACCUGCCGAAGCAACUAGCCCUGAAAAUGGAUGGCGCUGAAGCGUCGCGCCUAUACUCUGCCGUCAGCGGCAAGUGUGGCGGUUAAAAAAUCGCUAUGAAGCCCUGACGAGUAGGAGGGUCGCGGCGGUGUGCGCAGAAGGGUCUGGGCGCGAGCCUGCCUGGAGCCGCCGUCGGUGCAGAUCUUGGUGGUAGUAGCAAAUACUCCAGCGAGGCCCUGGAGGACUGACGUGGAGAAGGGUUUCGUGUGAACAGCCGUUGCACACGAGUCAGUCGAUCCUAAGCCCUAGGAGAAAUCCUAUGUCGAUGACGGUGUGCACACACACCCGUCGGGCGAAAGGGUAUCGGUUCCUAUUCGGGACCCGGCAGCGGACGGCAUGCAUUCGGCCUCGUAGAGUAGUCGUCGGGCUACCCAAUGACUGAGACGCGUCGGUGAUCGGGAGAGUUUUCUUUUCUG